GGCUAGCUCCAGCUAGCUUAACUGUUGACUGGACACAAAAAACUGCGAAAUCAAGGAGAAGGGCAGCGCCCAGAAUAACAGUAAACCUCAGCAAACCCCGCAGCAUCCCGUGGGGAAUGGGACCCCGGGUGUACCCUCCGGGUCGUCGGACGCUGGAACAAAGGUCAUGUCCUUCAGUUUGUUAAAGCCGCCGUGCUUCACACAGCUCUCCAAGCAUGCAGUGACCGUCUCGCCCCACUCGGCAGCUCUGUUCGAUCCAAAAGAAACGUGCCUCG